rnacentral:rRNA from 1 species
CAUGCCGCGUGUGUGAAGAAGGCUUUCGGGUUGUAAAGCACUUUCAGUCGGGAGGAAAAGCGUACGGUUAAUACCCGUGCGUGUUGACGUUACCGGCAGAAGAAGCACCGGCUAACUCCGUGCCAGCAACCUCGGUGACUGAGCGGGCUGGCAAGGCGCAUA